rnacentral:rRNA from 1 species
CCAAGGGGAGUGGCGAACGGGUGAGUAACGCGUGGGAACCUACCCAGCAGUUGGGGAUAACCGCGGGAAACUGCGGCUAAUACCGAAUACGUCCUACGGGAGAAAGAUUUAUCGCUGUUGGAGGGGCCCGCGUCGGAUUAGCUAGUUGGUGAGGUAAUGGCUCACCAAGGCUGCGAUCCGUAGCUGGUCUGAGAGGAUGAUCAGCCACACUGGGACUUAGACACGGCCCAGACUCCUACGGGAGGCAGCAGUGGGGAAUAUUGGACAAUGGGGGCAACCCUGAUCCAGCAAUGCCGCGUGAGUGAUGAAGGCCUUAGGGUUGUAAAGCUCUUUUACCGGGGACGAUGAUGACGGUACCCGGAGAAUAAGCCCCGGCUAACUUCGUGCCAGCAGCCGCGGUAAUACGAAGGGGGCGAGCGUUGUUCGGAGUUACUGGGCGUAAAGGGCGCGUAGGCGGCGAUCCAAGUUAGGCGUGAAAGCCCCGGGCUUAACCUGGGAAUAGCGCUUAAGACUGGACUGCUUGAGUGCGGGAGAGGUGAGUGGAAUUCCCAGUGUAGAGGUGAAAUUCGUAGAUAUUGGGAAGAACACCAGUGGCGAAGGCGGCUCACUGGCCCGCAACUGACGCUGAGGCGCGAAAGCGUGGGGAGCAAACAGGAUUAGAUACCCUGGUAGUCCACGCUGUAAACGAUGAGUGCUAGACGUUGGGGGACUCAGUCCCUUGGUGUCGCAGCUAACGCAUGAAGCACUCCGCCUGGGGAGUACGGCCGCAA